UGUUGUUUUUCCGAAAAUCAAUUACGAAUGGCUUGAUUUUGUGUUGUAUUGACCUUAUCAGCUUUCUUCACUUUUUUCGAGUCUUUCUUAAUGCACUUUUCGGUUAACAAGUCAACAUCAAUUUCUUUUGUUGUAAAAGAGUAUUCGGAAGGUGGCUUCCUUUUCGGAGAAAGUGUUUAUAGCCCUAUACUUCUACAAUCGGAGAGAUUGAGGUCUGCAGCGUAGAUCCUUCGGGGUUAGAUACAUUUGUGCUAAGUUGUAGCUUUUCAUAGACAACUUGUUGACUAUGUUUGGUCAUGCGGCUUACUCGCUUAUGCUAUUUUACCUAC
rnacentral:rRNA from 1 species